rnacentral:rRNA from 1 species
AACGUAGGGGACAAGCGUUAUCCGGAUUUACUGGGCGUAAAGCGCCCGUAGGCGGCCUGACAAGUUGGACGUGAAAGCUCCUGGCUUAACUGGGAGAGGCCGUUCAAAACUGUCAAGCUAGAGUCUGGAAGAGGAGAGCGGAAUUCCCGGUGUAGUGGUGGAAUGCGUAGAGAUCGGGAGGAACACCAAUGCGAAGGCAGCUCGCUGGGACGUUACGUGAC